UGAGGAAUUUUGCGCAAUGGGGGAAACCCUGACGCAGCAACGCCGCGUGAGUGAUGAAGGCUUUCGGGUCGUAAAGCUCUGUCAAGUGGGAAGAACCUGCAGUAUGCCAAUAUCAUAUUGCACUGACGGUACCACUGAAGGAAGCACCGGCUAACUCCGUGCCAGCAGCCGCGGUAAUACGGGGGGUGCAAGCGUUAUUCGGAAUCAUUGGGCGUAAAGAGCACGUAGGCGGCCUGGUAAGUCAGAUGUGAAAGCCCUGGGCUUAACCCGGGAAGUGCAUUUGAUACUGUCAGGCUUGAGCAUGGGAGAGGGAAGUGGAAUUCCUGGUGUAGAGGUGAAAUUCGUAGAUAUCAGGAGGAACACCGGUGGCGAAGGCGACUUCCUGGACCAAUACUGACGCUGAGGUGCGAAGGCGUGGGUAGCAAACAGGAUUAGAUACCCUGGUAGUCCACGCAGUAAACGUUGUUCACUAGGUGUAGCGGGUAUUGACCCCUGCUGUGCCGCAGUUAACGCAUUAAGUGAACCGCCUGGGGAGUACGGCCGCAAGGUUA
rnacentral:rRNA from 1 species